UAUACCAGGAACUUCUGCCUGCUAGUAAGAUGAUAAGGAGACAAGUGGACCAGCGAGUGCUAGGGGACAGUCCUUAGAAAGCGUGGAGUAGGCACAUAAUUUGAUGCAUUUAUGUCAAGCUCAGGGUGCUGCCUGCAUAGUAUGCCCUUAGUUGGACAACCUGCAUGAUUGGCAGGCAGCCUGACAUGCAUUCAUGCCAGACUGGCCUUCCAAUUCUUUGGACAAACAUGCCCCCUUUUUGGGCAUGUUCACCUCUUUUGGCAGGUCUGGUCAUGUGAUUCGCGUCAGUGGCACACCCUUUUACGCUGCCCAUUGACUUCCUGCUUCACUGGACACUGCUAUUAGGGGGUAUGGAUUUACUUGAA